UACGUAGGGGGGCAAGCGUUUGUCCGGAGUUACUGGGCGUAAAGCGCACGCAGGCGGUCUUUUUAAGUUUUGGAGUGACAGUUGGUGGCUUAACUGCCAAAGUGCUUCGAAAACUGACAGACUUUGAGGGCUUCAGAGGGACACGGAAUUCCGGGUGGAGUGGUGAAAUGCGUAGAUAUCUGGAGGAACACCGGUGGCGAAGGCGGCAUCCUGGACCGGCAUUGACGCUGAGGCGCGAAAGCCAGGGGAGCAAACGGG
rnacentral:rRNA from 1 species